GUUUAUGCUUUGUGUAUUUCGGGCCAUCAAGGGCAGACAAGGUUGUUGGGAGGAUUAGACGCGCAGCAGAGCUGGGUGACGGUCCCUCGUUUCUGCCCCUUACAAACGGCCAUCAGAUGACAAGGGCUGAUUUAAUCAUCACAAGAAGCGUGAGUGAGGAGAAACACGGGCCAGCUGCUCUGGCCACAGAGCAGACGCAGCCACACACUCGCUCUUCACACCCUUGCAGGAGGAGGCCCAGCUGCUGUUAUCUGGGAUACCACGGCUGCACCCAGCUGGACGAGCCAAGGGCAGAAGUGCGUGUUAUCAGAAGGGGCAGACGGGAGUCUCAGGAAGCUGGUGGAACAGCACGGGGACUAUUUUAGCCCGGGGGUCUCGCUAUCUCUCCGCCCUGCUAGCCUGCCAACGUCAGAGAGGAGAGCGAGACAGAAAGAGACAUUACCACCACAGCGCACCCUGACAGACCAACGUCAAAGAGGAGAUGAGCCACAGUCUACAGGGUUCAGGGAUUAUUUUAGUGGGAUUAAACGUGGAUUAAAGCCCUAGUUGGCAAUUCCUGUAUUCCUGUAAUUGAGCAUUUGCCAAUGCAAUAACAUGUUUUUGUUCCUACUCCCAUGCACACACACAGGAUCAGUGCGUGGAUCUGUGCUGAG